CUAGAUUGAUGGCGAGUGGCGAACGGGUGAGUAAUACAUCGGAACGUGCCCUGUAGUGGGGGAUAACUAGUCGAAAGAUUAGCUAAUACCGCAUACGACCUGAGGGUGAAAGUGGGGGACCGCAAGGCCUCAUGCUAUAGGAGCGGCCGAUGUCUGAUUAGCUAGUUGGUGAGGUAAAGGCUCACCAAGGCGACGAUCAGUAGCUGGUCUGAGAGGACGAUCAGCCACACUGGGACUGAGACACGGCCCAGACUCCUACGGGAGGCAGCAGUGGGGAAUUUUGGACAAUGGGCGAAAGCCUGAUCCAGCAAUGCCGCGUGUGUGAAGAAGGCCUUCGGGUUGUAAAGCACUUUUGUCCGGAAAGAAAUCGCACUUACUAAUACUAGGUGUGGAUGACGGUACCGGAAGAAUAAGGACCGGCUAACUACGUGCCAGCAGCCGCGGUAAUACGUAGGGUCCAAGCGUUAAUCGGAAUUACUGGGCGUAAAGCGUGCGCAGGCGGUUGUGCAAGACCGAUGUGAAAUCCCCGAGCUUAACUUGGGAAUUGCAUUGGUGACUGCACGGCUAGAGUGUGUCAGAGGGGGGUAGAAUUCCACGUGUAGCAGUGAAAUGCGUAGAGAUGUGGAGGAAUACCGAUGGCGAAGGCAGCCCCCUGGGAUAACACUGACGCUCAUGCACGAAAGCGUGGGGAGCAAACAGGAUUAGAUACCCUGGUAGUCCACGCCCUAAACGAUGUCAACUAGUUGUUGGGGAUUCAUUUCCUUAGUAACGUAGCUAACGCGUGAAGUUGACCGCCUGGGGAGUACGGUCGCAGAUUAAAACUCAAAGGAAUUGACGGGGACCCCGCACAAGCGCUGCAUGAUGUGAAUAAUCGAUGCACGCGUAAACUUACUACCGUUGGACAUGCACUUA
rnacentral:rRNA from 1 species